UUUUUUUUCUUUCAAGUUGACAUGGGUAGUUUUCAUUAUUAAUACAAUAUUAAACUGAUUAGCCCCAAUAACUAUAUCAAAAUAUAUUUCUAAACCGUAGCUUUUUUUUAUCGUUCCUACUCAGCUUCUUGUUCUCCAUAUUAACGCCGCGUUCCUUUUCUUAUUCUUUUUCUUCUUUGGUCCUUUGCUUCUUCUCCUAAAUGUUUCUUCUCGUGCUUUUCUUCUUCUUACCUCUUAUGCUUCUUCCAACUACUUCUUCACAUCACUAUAGUAAUUUUUAUAAUCUUUAGGCUUCGAAGAUGAAAGUUUGAAUAGAAUAUAACUUCAAUGAAAGAAUAAAAGAAGAAUGUCCAGCUGUGCUGCAAAUCACAUCUAAUUUUUUUUUAUUCACUCUACAUUUUAAAGUUUCCAUAUUCUCUUUCAACUUUUUUUUUUUUUUUUUGAUCGGGCAAAGUCAUGUUAGAUGUUAGUAAUUAGUUCCCCAUCCACUCCAAGAACCACCUUAUCUCUCUAUUCACCAAAAUCCACCUUAUAUCUCCAAUCUCCAAUUCGCUCCCAAGAGGGAUCGAACCCGGGUCACUUCACUUAAGUGAGGACCCGGUGGCCAUAUUCUCUUUCAACUAAUUAAGAAAGAGAAAAUAAAGCAGUUGAUAUAUUAUUUCAAUAAAAAUAUGUUAUUUUAAUUAUUUUGUCCCUAAUGUUCCAACUUACAAUAGCUCAUAUAAUUAAACCUCAUAAAUGUAUUUAUGGACAAUAGGUUUGGAAGAACUUGGUGUCUUUACAUGCUCUGGAAAGAACUAAAACUAUUAAAACUCACCUUGAAAGCUUCUUCCAGUCAUGCCCUAAAAUAGAUAAAUAGAAAUUACAUUAGAGAACUACAUUUGCAACACUUAUAUUACUUUGAACUUGGAAAUCGGAAGCAAGAUUUAUUCCAAUGCCACUUAAUGGAACACCUUACUUUGGAGAAGGUUUUAUUGGUAUGUCAACACCCUGCCAAACACCAAUGAACUAAAUAAUAAGCAAAUGAGUUAAUGUCUUGGAUUGACAAAAUUAACGUUUUAAACAUAUUUAAGUCUAAAAACUCUAAAUCAGUGAGAAAAAUAGCUAGAUAAUUGAACACAUAGUUGCUCAGUUGCUCUAUACACCUGUGAUUAGCUUCCAUAAAUUUGGUCUCUAAGUCCUCUAUCAUCUUCCAGUUUUAGAUGAAAGCAAAGAAUCAUAUAUACAUGAAAAUUUAUUAAUGCGAUUUUUGGGCAUUAAAGGUGGUGGAGAUAGUUUUACUUUUAUUGAUUUUAUUUUACUUUGCAUUACCUACUUCUUUACGGGAAUAGAGGCUGACAGAGGAGUUCCAAAUUUAUAUUGUUAAUCCACCUUUGGCUUGUUUAUUAUUUUUGAAUAGACUGCUUGCAAAGUAAUAAUAACUCUCCUGAUAUUCAUUUUCUUGCAUUUGUUAAAUACUAAAAUACUUAAAAGCUUGUAGUUCUGAUAUGCACCAAAAUAAAUUCUUUCAUAACUUCAAGAUAUUGCUUGAUACCAAUAUACACAGCACAUUAGUUUAGCAACAUAAACAAUGAGCCUACACACAACACUUUCUAAUAUAUAUUCUCAUUCAUCAUACAAUGAACAUUUUAGAAGAACAACAAAAUCAAGAUCUACAAACAUAAUAUAUUCCCCCAUGUACUUUCAAGAACUUCACUUAUAAAUUGUGCAGUACAAAAAUUAUAAGAAACUAACUUAUUAACUCGUUUUAUGGAGAUAUAGUUAAGCUAAUUCAUCGGAACACUUGUUUGAGUUCGUUCAAAUCAAUUAAUUGAGGGUCACAAAAAUGAUUCAUGAACAUCUUCAGUUGCGUGCUACUCUUAAAUAAAUGUAAUUAUGAACUUACCAAAAUUUCCCAGUGCGCUCCUUACUUGUUCUUCCGAAAAUGGUGAUGGAUCAGGUUCCAAUCCUCUGCAAUCAUACCAACCAAGAUUUAUUCAAAUGAAGAUUACACAUUAAGAGGAAUAAUGAGAUUGCAACCAUUCAACAACAUAUAUUAGAAAAGUUCAGCAUUAUGAUUGCAUCACCAAAUCUAUUUUCCCCUUUUCCUUUUAUCAUAUGCUUAAAUAACAAUUCGACAAUUUCUUAUCUAAGAAUAUCUACAAUUCAUGCAAUGGCUCGAACCGCUCAACAAUCCAUAGCAAUAGCAAUAUAGUAAAUUUCUCAACAUUAUGUCGAUUUAACAUUCCACUUAAUUUUCUGAUGCAACAAAAACAAUUUAGAGCCACAGACUUUGUUCCACCAAAUAAAUAGAUUAAUUUAAAUCAUAAAAUUCAGAAUCAUAGCACUGCCUAACAUUGCCUAUGAUGAACAAAUUCUUCCAACCACUAACUUAACAGCUCAAGUUGUAUAUCUCUCUAUCAUCACUUCAAAGCUACUCGCAACUUCAGUACUGGAAGCUACAAUACUACAUCCAACUAAAUGAACUCUAUAAAAAGACACACGACUGAAUAAAUGCAAAUAAAAGAGAUAAGAGAUAGAACGUAAUUACCACUCUCAAUUUGAGGAUACUCCACGCCUAAAAAUUUCUCCUUCUUUUGGCUUAAAAUUUGGGGCAACCUCUAUCAACUUUAAAAUAUGGGUUAAUUUCAUAUGUGGGAUUAGAGAGAUGAGAGGCUGUGCUACGGCCUACGGGAAUACAGAGACGGUGAGACUGCGAAUCGCAAGCUAUCUUAUCCAUGACCUGCAAUAAAGACCAAAAUUUGUAAGGCCCUUUAUGACUGAACAGAUGCAUGCUUUCCUCUCGUUCGAUUCAAAGUUGAAGAAAAUAAAAAGAGGGAUGAGAAAGAAUUUAACCGAUAGAUUUCUUCUUCUGCGGUUUGGCAUCCCGAUCAUCCCUAGAUGCACUAAAUCUAGUCUCAUGCUCUUUAUCUAUGCUUCUUCUCCCAUUAUAACAUUAAUUGUGCUUCAAUUCGAUAACAACUGCAUGCUAAUGCAUAAGUGGAUGGAGAGCAGUUGGAAAAAUUAAAUUAAUUUCUGAAAAAUAAUAGUUGCUCCAGAGACAUUGUGAUAGAACCGUGUGAGAGAGAUAAAAUUUAUAUUGUGAGAGAAACGUGAGAGAGAGAGAGAGAGAGAGAUAAAAUUGAAAUUCUGAGCGAAACGUGAUAGGGAGGGAGAGAGAAAGCUGUUGUUGUGAAGGAACGUGUGUGGGAGAAUUUUACCAAAUAACUGCUGCAAACUAU
rnacentral:lncRNA from 1 species